AGUCGAGCGAACAGAAAAGGAGCUUGCUCCUUUGACGUUAGCGGCGGACGGGUGAGUAACACGUGGGCAACCUACCCUAUAGUUUGGGAUAACUCCGGGAAACCGGGGCUAAUACCGAAUAAUCUCUUUUGCUUCAUGGUGAAAGACUGAAAGACGGUUUCGGCUGUCGCUAUAGGAUGGGCCCGCGGCGCAUUAGCUAGUUGGUGAGGUAACGGCUCACCAAGGCGACGAUGCGUAGCCGACCUGAGAGGGUGAUCGGCCACACUGGGACUGAGACACGGCCCAGACUCCUACGGGAGGCAGCAGUAGGGAAUCUUCCACAAUGGGCGAAAGCCUGAUGGAGCAACGCCGCGUGAGUGAAGAAGGUUUUCGGAUCGUAAAACUCUGUUGUAAGGGAAGAACAAGUACAGUAGUAACUGGCUGUACCUUGACGGUACCUUAUUAGAAAGCCACGGCUAACUACGUGCCAGCAGCCGCGGUAAUACGUAUGUGGCAAGCGUUGUCCGGAAUUAUUGGGCGUAAAGCGCGCGCAGGCGGUCCUUUAAGUCUGAUGUGAAAGCCCACGGCUCAACCGUCGACGGUCAUUGGAAACUGGGGGACUUGAGUGCAGAAGA
rnacentral:rRNA from 1 species